AGGAACAAAGCUCAGUGGCUGAGCAUUUGUUUGGCAUGCAGAAGGCCCCAGGUCCAAUCUCUGGUAUCCCCA